UACGUGGGACACGAGCGUUAUCCGGUGUGACUGGGCGUAAAGCGUGUGUAGGCGGUAUAUUAAGUUACUUCUUAAAGAUCUCUGCUCACCAGAGGGAAAGGAGGUAAUACUGGUAUACUCGAGUUUUCUUUAGGGAAACUGGAAUUGACGGAGGAGUAGUGAAAUGCGUUGAUACCGUCAAGAACACCAGUGGCGAAGGCGAGUUUCUGGAAGAUAACUGACGCUGAGACACGAAAGCGAGGGGAGCGAACCGG
rnacentral:rRNA from 1 species